rnacentral:lncRNA from 1 species
UUUCAAAAUUGUUAAUUAUAGUAGAUGUCCAAGCUUUAUUCUUUGUUUCAAAGUUCAAGGAACUCUUUUUUUUAAUCUAAUGUUUAUUAGAAUUACAGCCUGCAAACGUACUCAGAUAACGAGCAUGUGUGUGCCUAUACUUCUGUGCUCCUGUGCCAAAAGUAGACUUAGGAACAGUAAGCAAGGCCUCCAGUGAGAUCAGUUUGGGGCAGCCUGGAGCAGAUUAUUUGUGCAAUCUUUACUCAGCUGUUCCGAAGCCCUUGCUGGAUGGCGGGGAUGGCCCUCCCAGGCAGGUUCUCAGCAGAAUGGUCUGGACUCUGCUGGUGCUCUCACUUAUCACUGGGAGGAUAUUCCAGGACCACAUCCAUUGGCAGGCAGGAAGUUAAUGCACAGCCUCCGAUAAACCAUCUGUUACAAAAGCAGCAAUCAAAAUCCAAAGCAGCAGCCCUUCAGCAACGUGACCAAACUCAGGUUAACUGAAGCCAAAUUCUCCUUUUAAGUAAACAGACCUCCAAGUACUGCUACUCUGACACAUGCUGGAUCAUUGCUUACAAGACGAAACUAGCCUUUCUCCUGCCUGAACCCGAAGUCAGAGGGAACUUUUGAAUGAAUCAUGGACACAAGCCUCGUGGUAGGCAAAGAUUCUGCAUACAUGGAAAGCUUAGAGUCAGACAUGCUACUGGCUGCAGCAGUCCAAGGCAACAAAGCUUCAAGGACAAGCACAACUUCUGUGGAUGUGGAUCACAGGAAGAAAAAGGGUCCAGAGCAGUAAGAAAGCACCAGAGGACCUCUGAGCGAUGGCCACCGGGGUGGCCUGUGUGCAUCACUGCCAGGAGUUUUAAAGAGAAAACCCACAGCACAGCAUGACUGUUGACACUGUCCAGUUCAAAGCAGCUUUGUGGUUUGGAAAAUGGAGGAAGGGAGGAAAAAAAUUAAUGGAAACCUCCUCUGGGAGAGUUUAGCAGUAGGUAAGGGGACAAUGAGCUUUCUAUAGGUACCCCACGUAGGAUCGCAAGGUGAGCCUGGCAGGUUGCCAGCUGGUUGUGAUAGAAGAGUACUGUGUGCCCCAGACCAGAGAUGAGCUCGUCUGCGCAGGCUGUGCUUGUAAGCUACAUCUUGGCCAUCUUGGCUAGCUCAGCCUGCUUCUUCCUGCCAGGGCACUUGGGUGAUUCUGCCUGCUCAUGCACCUUCUCUAAUGCCUUCCUGGUGAUUUAGACGAGCUUUCCAGGAGUCUCUCUCCCAGUGAUAGACAUAGGAAAUAUCCUUAUAUUCUGCCCCUCCUUCCUUAAGUUCUCCUAUGCAGGAGUGAGGAACAGAUGUGCCUUAGUAUUAAUUGCUCGGAAGUAAAUCACACUGGAGACCUGUAUCUGACUCACCUGAUUUGCCCUGGCUCCUCGAUGUAAAUGAUGCGGGCAGGAGGACAAGCCUGGUGCAGAGGACAUGUUUGUUAGCACGUUCCACCCAUCCAAUUGUCCACAGAUGCUUAACGAGAUCCAGGAAGACAGCCAUGAGGCUGGGCAGCUCAGGUCUCAUUCAUAAUUGCUUGCUGUGCAGCAAGCUGCAAUCAUAUGGGAGUUAUAGACAUUACAGUCUAGGAGCAGGAAGAGAGACCUUACCAACAGGGUUUUAGUUUGAAUCAUUCCAAGAUCCGUCUGCACUCUGAGAAUUGCAAUUCAUGAGUUCAGUCCUCAGAGUGGUUCUCAGUAUUUUUUUCUGAAAUUGAAAAGUACUGAUGGAAGCUGUGCAGAAGUCUUGCCUUAACAAGUGCUUUGAGACCAGGUGUCCUGCUUUCCUGAAGCAGGCAUCUAUCACCAGCAAAGCACACCUUGCCUUACAAAGCACAGAACAGAGAGGGAUUCUCUGUCCUGAGGAAUUUACAUAUAGGAGGUAUCGAUAUGAGGAUGGGCAGUGUCUUAUUUUCAUUGUGAGUUUUUCUCCAUUCCUCUUCAGAUCUUUCACAUUCUGCCUGUUUUGGAAACAAGAAAAUGCUCAGUAUUGUUGUGAAUCCCCUUCAGAAACCCAGGAUAGCGGACCGCUCUGUAACAUCUACAAACUUGGUUUUCACCUCCUCUAAACCCCUUGAAGGUCUGGUUUUGGAGAAGUUCAUGCUCUGGAGCUCCUGCAGUGAUGAUGGCAGGCACUGGCUGGGGGCACAUCCGCAGACCCUAUCAGCAGGUUGGAGGUAGAGCUGUGAGCAACAUGAAUGAGAUUCCUUGCAUUAAAGCAGGCAGGGAAGUAUCUGGUAGUGCUCUGCGUGUGCUGUGGCAGUGCCUGGUGAUGGCAGGGGGUCCUGUGGCACCGAGUACCAGUAAGACACCUAAUAAUGGGCUCCCCCACCAUUUCUUACAGAGCAUGGCAAGAGGUUGUAAGGAAAGAUGUCUCUUCUGCUCAGUAUUUAUCAGGAGGGCUGGGGCUUGUUCAAGGACUCCCUCCUCGCCUCCUUACAGGCUGAGGUCAAAUGAGAACACAAAUCUCUCUGAUAAGGUUGUCAAAACAUGCCAAUUGAAUGUCAGAUAUGAUUAAUAGGGAAGAUAACACCGAUGUGAUAGGUCAUGGGGAGGAAACUGCUAAACCAGUUGUAGAAGUGGAGAAUGUGUUGGGGGAGGCAGCAGAGCCUGGUCAGAGCAGAGGGAUUUGCACUGCACAGAAGUCCGUGUGCUGGUGUGGAAAGCUUUGCUGUUGGCACACAGGGCACUCUGGAAGGGUUUGGAACAUCAUCAGGAAAGUCACUCUUUUAUAACAUACAGAUGGUUUCAGGACAGCUUCCAGAUAUUCCUGUGAUUUCAUUGCCUUAAUGCAUUGCAUUGCAUCCCCCACUACACUGAUAAUCAGCCCAGACAUCUAUUCAGCCAAACUGCCUCUGAGCCAUGGUGGGAGGCAUUCCUUGAGAGCUCUUUGUGGCUGUGGUUGUGCAGACCAGGCAGGGGCGCUCCCCACGCAUCACCAUUCACAGGAUUACAAGGACACCUACAAGGGUCACUGCUUCCCCUUUCCCUGUUAGCAUCAGCUGUUGUGGCAUCCAUGCCCCAGGUCACCCAGGAAUGGCCAUACGGCUCCUGUCACUCAGAUUACAGUUCCCAACCCUAUGCGUUUGCACAGGAGAAGGCUGGAGGCUGAGGUGGAGGAGGAAGGGAAAUGCUGGCCACAGAUUACUGCACUGCUCUAUCAAAAGGACGAGAUGAAGGGCAGGGCGGGUUUUGCAAUGCCUUUUCAGCCACAGCAAAGCACCUGUCAGCAGAACUGAGAGGGGAUGUGAUAGAGGUGAAGAACAGGAGGCCUGAAGACAGUAAGACACGAGGCAGAGCUCUUUGCUUUCCUGGCCUGUGAUUUCUUGCUUAAGCUUCUUUUGAGACAGUGGUCCUGUAUAAUACUUCUGGCCUUUCGCUUCGCUCUCAGCCUUAUUUAUUGCCUCUUCCCAAUGCUCCAAUGCUUUCCUCCUCCCCAGCACUCCUGCAGCCGAGGAACUUUGCCAGUGCCACUGCCUUGGCUGAGUGGAGGAAUAAGCAGAGGUAAAAUCAAGGGCUUUGCACGCACCAGUGUUCCCACGUAAGCUGUCAGCAGUCACAGUGACAGACGACCCUGGCACAAAAGCACGUAGCUGCAAUUUACACACAACUUUACCCCAAAGAAGCAUAAAUUGACACUGGCUUGAUGGUCGUGGCAGGGAAGCAGGUUACCAGCCCCCAACUACAGAUAUUGUGGUUAAUCUUUUAUGCCAACAAAGCCUCGAUUUUGAUUUAAAUCUCCCUUUUAUCUUUCUGCCUUUCUACCCUAGAGCAAACAUACUUUCACCUACAGCGAGUGAAUUGAAUGAAAAAGCCAUUUUUCUUGCCCUGUCACAAAGCCACAUUCUGGGGCUACUACGUGUGGAAUUUUCCAUGUGGUUGCUAUAAGCAGCCCAUGUACACAGUAGAAAAAAAAACAGCUUGGCUUUUAAAUGGUGCAAGAAUUGCCUCUGAUUAUUUCCGCAACACCUGUACAGGUCCUUAACCAAAGCCUCUGGCUGCCUCCAAGUGAAGCAGAGCAUCAGGUGCUAACACAACAACCAAGUGCCAACCAAGCGUGUAGAAAGUGUCAGCAAACAAUGCUGUAGUUGAUAGGAUAUUUAAGAGCGUCUCAAACAGCUGCAGCCAGCUAGAGUACAUAAAAGGGCACAGCCAUUAAUUCACAGUGGCCCACACCACUGAUUCGAUGCACACAAAUUGGAGAAGCAGCUGGCUAAAUGUCAUGCUGCUGGCUUGUUUUUGAAGCCCAGGUAACAGAUUUCCAGUUCCUUUCCAAACAC